rnacentral:rRNA from 1 species
UACGAAGGUCCCAAGCGUUGUUCGGAAUCACUGGGCGUAAAGGGAGCGUAGGCGGCGUGGUAAGUCAGAUGUGAAAUCCCGGGGCUCAACCCCGGAACUGCAUCCGAUACUGCCAUGCUUGAGGGUUGGAGAGGUAGCUGGAAUUCUCGGUGUAGCAGUGAAAUGCGUGGAUAUCGAGAGGAACACUCGUGGCGAAGGCGAGCUACUGGACAACAUCUGACGCUGAGGCUCGAAGGCUAGGGGAGCAAACAGG